UACGUAGGUGGCAAGCGUUGUCCGGAAUUAUUGGGCGUAAAGCGCGCGCAGGCGGUCCUUUAAGUCUGAUGUGAAAGCCCACGGCUCAACCGUGGAGGGUCAUUGGAAACUGGAGGACUUGAGUACAGAAGAGGAAAGCGGAAUUCCACGUGUAGCGGUGAAAUGCGUAGAGAUGUGGAGGAACACCAGUGGCGAAGGCGGCUUUCUGGUCUGUAACUGACGCUGAGGCGCGAAAGCGUGGGAGCAAACAGG
rnacentral:rRNA from 1 species